GCCUCUAAGGAUGAUCAAAAACAUUCUUCUGAGCUGUCAAUGUGGAAAUUACAUGGAGACCUGAACUGAAGAGGC